rnacentral:lncRNA from 1 species
CAGCACAGCUCAGUCUGAGAGCGCGGCUCCCUGUGCCUCAGCCUGGGUCCUGGGUGCUCCCUGUGCCUCAGCCCGGGUCCUGGGCCACCAGGCUUCAAGGCCAAGCUGCACCAAGUUCAAAUGGGAUCUCCAUCAUUUGGAGCUCCAGAGCUCCCAAGGGAGGGGCCGCCUCCAGAGAUGGAGACAUGGACUCAGAGACGGAGGGAUGCUCCCAAGGCCACACAGUGGGACCAUUCUAGACGGGCACCUGCUCUUAAAGUCCCCCCUUACCCCCUAGCUACAGAUCCAGAGGCCCUAGGAGUCGUGGCGAGUUUUAACGAAUAAAACUAUUGGGCGCCAGGUGGAUCUGCGUUUCUCAUAAGCGACGGACAACGUUCACAGGGAAGACCUGUUCACUGUUUCUGCAGGUUCGCUUUAAGCCAGGCCCUGGCUUUUCGUCUGGCCGUGCCUCUGGGCACCGUCAACCCAGCAGCUUUCCCACCAGAGGCCUGACAGCAGUUGGGAAGCACCCCUAGGCCUGCUGAAGUGGGGGGCCGCCUGGAGAAUGGAGCAGCUGGGGCCUGGGGAUCCUCACACACACCGGAGGGUGGCUGCAAUGAGUCAGCCUGCCCCGGACAUCAGGCAGGUGCUGGGGGGUGGAGAUGCCACUGACUUUGAAGGUAGCCACCGUCAGCACACAGCUGAGACUUUGCAGAAAACCACAUUCCCACCCGCUUGUCCCUGGAUUUCCCAGCUUCCCUUGCACCUAGAAUGUAACCCAGUUCUGGCCAAUGUGUGAAAGGAUUCAAGGAAGUUUUUUUCUUUCUGAAUUAAAAGGCAAGGAUUUCAAGGAAAAUAUACUUCACUAUACCCUUCUUCUCCUUGCCUGGAAUGUGGACGUGAUGACUCAAGACGGGGCAGCCAUAUUAGCACUGUGUGGACAAAAGCCAGACACUAAGACUGGGAGAGCAGGAAGCUGGAGUUGCCUGGAUCCUCCUCUAGGGACCUGUGCCUGGUGGCAAGUCCUUGCCAUGUCUCCAGCAUGAGGGACAGUGUGAGGUCCCCAGUGCUCUUUUGGAGGAGGAUGUUCCUUCAUCCUAAGACCAUGUCCUUCAUAUUGUGGGAAUUUCAGAAUGUAACUUACUUCAUGAAAUGAUCAUCCAUGAUGGGAUUUAACAUUUUUUAUUCUGGUUUUGUUCCCAUCCUUCCUUUGCAAAAUAAAAAAUUGGCAUCCUU